rnacentral:rRNA from 1 species
UACGUAGGGUGCAAGCGUUAAUCGGAAUUACUGGGCGUAAAGCGUGCGCAGGCGGUUGUGCAAGACAGAUGUGAAAUCCCCCGGGCUCAACCUGGGAAUUGCAUUUGUGACUGCACGGCUAGAGUGUGUCAGAGGGGGGGUAGAAUUCCACGUGUAGCAGUGAAAUGCGUAGAUAUGUGGAGGAAUACCGAUGGCGAAGGCAGCCCCCCUGGGAUAACACUGACGCUCAUGCACGAAAAGCGUGGGGGAGCAAACAGG